AUGAACGCUAGCGGCGAGGCUUACACAUGCAAGUCGAGGGGCAGCGAGGGUAGCAAUACCUGUCGGCGACCGGCGGAAGGGUGAGUAACGCGUGAGCAACAUACCCGUAUCAGUGGGAUAAUACAGGGAAACUUGUUCUAAUAUCGCAUAAUAUUAUUCAGAGGCAUCUUUGGAUAAUUAAAGUUACGGCGGAUACGGAAUGGCUCGCGUGACAUUAGCUAGAUGGUAGGGUAAUGGCCUACCAUGGCGAUGAUGUCUAGGGGUUCUGAGAGGGAGGUCCCCCACACUGGAACUGAGACACGGUCCAGACUCCUACGGGAGGCAGCAGUGAGGAAUAUUGGACAAUGGAUGGAAAUCUGAUCCAGCCAUGCCGCGUGUAGGAAGGCGGCCCUAUGGGUUGUAAACUGCUUUUGUACGGGAGCAAUAAGGUCUACGAGUAGAUUGAUGAGAGUACUGUACGAAUAAGCAUCGGCUAACUCCGUG
rnacentral:rRNA from 1 species